rnacentral:rRNA from 1 species
CGGCGGACGGGUGAGUAACGCGUGGGUAACCUGCCUCAUACAGGGGGAUAACAGUUGGAAACGGCUGCUAAUACCGCAUAAGCGCACAGUACCGCAUGGUACGGUGUGAAAAACUCCGGUGGUAUGAGAUGGACCCGCGUCUGAUUAGGUAGUUGGUGGGGUAACGGCCUACCAAGCCGACGAUCAGUAGCCGACCUGAGAGGGUGACCGGCCACAUCGGGACUGAGACACGGCCCAA